ensembl:lncRNA
CUAUUACCCUACAUCACACUAACCCGCUCCCCCCUACCCCUAUUACCCUACCCUACCCUAUUACCCUACCCCCAUUACCCCUACCCUAUUACCCUAUCGCCCUACCCUACCCCCAUUACCCUACCCUAUUACCCUACCCUACCCCUAAUACCCUACCCUUAUUACCCUACCCUACCCCCAUUAGCCCCAACCCCCUACCCUAACCUUACUCCUAUAGCCCCACCAUCACACUAACCUAACCCUAGACAGGGUUAGUUAAGGUGUAGGUUUGACAGGGUUAGUUAAGGUGUAGGUUAGACAGGGUUAGUUAAGGUGUUAGGUUAGAGAUUUUUGAAUGAAAUAAUCAAAGCACAAAUUAUCCAAUACACGAUUUAAAGGCCAGAAUGGGUUUCUAUUUGACCUUUCAGCAUUAUGGCUUAUCCUUAUAAGUCGAUUUAUUUGUUUUAAUUCCUUCUUCAAAUACAAAAUGUGAUUUUUAUGCAAACGAUCAUUACAAAAAGCAAUGAUUAAGUGAUUAUCUUCCAUCUUUUGCAUUCGAAGCCUUUGUACAUGUCUGUUCUGUCAUAUUAAAAUCUGAGAGUUAUAACCAUCUUUAUACUUUAUUGUAAAGAACAAGGUCAGCUCAAACUGUUGUGCCUCGUUUCCACCGAGCAGUUCGGUUCGGUGCGGCACGGUUCGCUUAUAUCGGUGUUUCUGCUGCCAAAAGUAGGGUAGGGUCCCAAAUAAGCGUGCGGCUUCUAUUCUGAGCACUCCUCCGUUGGCGACCACGCCGUCUGAAAGGGUGCCGAAAAGUUGGCGUUACAAAAACCGUCCGUUGAUUUGUCGACAGAAUGUUCACUUCCGUGCGUCAGGGGGAUAAAAACAAACCACCCCAAACGACCCCUGGGGUCACACUCUGAUGGGCCACAGGAUCCGGUGGAACAGCGGACCGCCAAAACACUGUCUGACAUCGUAGCGGCCUGCAGCGUCAGAGAGGGUGGGGACCACUGAUCUAUACACUAUGG